UAAACACAUAUAUUUCCCAAGAAGAAUCUUAAGGGCCAUAGUCGUAUUUUCAUUGGAGAAAGAAAAGGCAAGGAUAGUUGCCGCGUAAAUAUUGUGUAGUAUGAACCACCACUGCCCAUGUAUAUCUCUAUAAAUAUAUGUUUAUGAUCUGUCAACGACCUUCAACUUCAACAACCAAAAAAAAAAAGAAGAAAAACUUCAACUUCCCAACUUUUUCUUUCACUUUCUCUUCUAUUCAUUCCAAUCAGACUCUUCUCUACAGAACUAGAGUUUACUAUUCCAUCUCCAAACCAAAAAAAAAAAAAUGAAGAAACCAGGAUUCUUUGCUGCCUCAGUUGCCGCAGCUUCUGCUACCAUCUCUGCUUCUUCCCCAAGCUCUGUCUGUAAUACUACUCAACAGGGGGCUGAAUUGAACAAAAAUCAUGGAAACUCUUCACAUCAAAGGUCAUCUUCGACUGAUAAAUUUGCCCCGAGGUUUGAUGGUCUAAGAUUCAUUGAAACGCUGGUCACUGCUCACAGAUAAGCUUCAUCAUCAAGCUUUCAGGGUUCCAUGCUCAGGAGUCAUGACCUCUAUCCAUAUUUGUCUUUUAUUAUUUUAAAAAAGGCAAUUCUGAAGAAAUUUCAACUGUUUUGGUAGAUCAGAUUUUAAGUUGAGAAAUGAAGGAACUGUAAUAUUUCAGGUGUUGUGGUAGUUUUUUUUUUACUGGUCAGAUCUAUGCUUGUUAUUGUUCAGAACUCUCUCCCCCUCUCUCUCUCUCUCUCUAAUAAAUUAUAUAUCUAAGCCUUUCUUUA